AUUGAACGCUGGCGGCAGGCCUAACACAUGCAAGUCGAGCGAGCGGCGGACGGGUGAGUACUGUAUGGGGACUGCCCGAUAGAGGGGGAUAACUACUGGAAACGGUAGCUAAUACCGCAUACUAUCGGAUAACCCAUAUGGGAUUAGCUAGUCGGUGAGGUAAUGGCUCACCUAGGCGACGUUCCCUAGCUGGUCUGAGAGGAUGAUCAGCCACACUGGGACUGAGACACGGCCCAGACUCCUACGGAGGCAGCAGUGGGGAAUAUUGCACAAUGGGCGAAAGCCUGAUGCAGCCAUGCCGCGUGAAUGAAGAAGGCCCUAGGGUUGUAAAGCACUGUCAUUCGGGAGGCGUUACCGAAAGAGUAAGCACCGGCUAACUCCGUGCCAGCAGCCGCGGUAAUAC
rnacentral:rRNA from 1 species